UGCAUCCCUAUGCUAACGACCAUUUCCUUUUAAGAGUGAAAUGAUGUUCAUUUCCGUUUCACAGGAGCAAAGUAGGAAGCCUCUGGGAAACAAACCGACAUCUUGUGGCAUAUUCUGAGUCAUUGACAGUGCCUAUACCGCAGCUGGUUGUUGUAGGUCCGGUCCUUCGCUGAUCCUUCACCCGUGAUGUUGCCGGAGGAUCUUACCAAGGUGCCACAUUACUGCGACGGUGGGUUCUACUCCUUGACAAACCUCAUCGAUAGCAAAUUUGGCAUUCUUCCCCAUAACUUUGAUAAGCCUUGUGAAGUAGAGGACUGGAGAUAUUGGAGCAGAUGAAAACCUUGACGUCCAGCGGUUUGUAGUAUGCAGUGUCCUCGAUGACGCAAUCAAGGGAAAUCAGCUUCUCGAGUCGUGUGAUGUCCUUAUCAUUGAGGGAGGAGUAGAACUCCUGAAUCACAUCUGUCAGGGGUGAAGAUGGUAAGUUAUUACCUCCACGGUAAGCACCGGUUCCAUUCGGCCCUGGUAUGGCUCGUAUGGGCUUUGCUGAACAUUGUUGCCUCUUCCGCCACUUGAUGCUGAUCUGCUGGUGGCGGGACUGCGGGCGCUGUUUUAGGAUGAAAUAAGAGGGAGAGUGGAAGGAGAUAUGUGUGAGGGCAGAGUUCAUGGUGUUUGGGUGUUUGCAUGCAGAAAGAGGUGAAGGCAUAGUGGAAUGAGGUGUGAUAUAGUCAUGUAUAGCUGGUGGGCAUUUUCAGUUGCUUGGUGGUUAGAGAAUGAAUCUGAGUAUAUAUAUAUAUAUAUAUAUAUAUAUAUAUAUAGCCUAUAGGGGAAGAAGCUUCCUGGCAUCAAAUGGAAUUUCCGUGGUGCACCGUUAAAGCAUAAACAUUUGUUUGUUACCAUAUGAAGUAAGGAAUCACUUCCACUAUAAUAUACAGAGGCUGGCAAGGUAAGAAUCAUGCCAAUUUGUGAAAAGGUAUUGCUUUGUUCCUUGGUGCUCCUUUUGCUAUGCUUUACAUUGAGUUUCCCUGAAGCUUUACAUUGAGUUUCCCUGAAGAAGGAGAAGCCUGCUAAGACUGCCUUCUUGGAGGGUGGCUCGACUUCCCAACUUGUUUCUUUGAAUACUUUCCACAUGGACGCCAGCUUACUUGGUUGCGCCAUAGGUAAUUGUUCCAAUGCAUCCUGCUCCUGCUGCUGCAAUCACAAAUGAGCCAGUACAGAGGCGGCAUGCACUGUUGAGGCUAUGCCCAUCCAGUCUGACUUGUCGACUCUUUUCGAGUCAAUGCAGAGUUAUAUGGUAUGAUGGUAUCCGCUUAUGGUUAGUUAACCAAGGAAUUCACCAUCCCACACACACCCAAGGAAUAACACAUAGGCACGCACAAUAUAGUAAUAUUAGUUAGAAUGUGAUAGUAGCAUUGCUCAGUACUUCCUGUCUUUCUUACAACAAUAUAUAUACAUCCCUACAAAUGCUGUCAGUCAUUUUCUUUAAGAGUGAAAUGACGCCCGUUUUUGUUUCGCAGGAGCAAGAAUAGGAUGAAAUAAACCAGCAUUACAGGGUAUCUUUGAGAACUGCUGCUAUUCUUCUGAAAAUGUGGGAUUUCCUGUUGUAUUGUAUUGCCUCCUUACAUCAACUCCUUGCAUAUGCUAUACAAAAUGAGGAGUCCCGUAAUCAAUCCACCCGCCACAAAUCUGAAAAGACGUGCGAUAUGCUCCACGCAGAGUUCAUAAAGCUUGACAAAGGACCCAAGCCCUGCUGCGUCCUGUAGAAUUCCUGCAUGUGUGCAUCGAUGCUUAGCUGGGUUUUAAGUGGUUCUAGUUUAUUACUGUACUAAAAAGUUGAAUUUAUAUAUGAAGCACAUACUUUCAGCUGAUUCUGGGUUUUUGUCGAAACGAAUAGGCAACGGAAUGAAGUAUGUCCUGCAGGGAUUGGAAUUAGCUAGAGGUAGUCAGACUAAGAAAUAUAGUUGGAUGCAGCAGCAGAAUAAAUUAUGCCUACCAAUGCCCGGUUUCCUUGUUUCACAGGCAAGAAUCAGUAGAAGGAGACAAGUGUGAGGGCAGAAUUCAUGGCGUCUGGGUGUUUGAUGAAUGCAGAAGGGAAAGAUGGGCAAGGCAUAGGGGAACGAGGUGUCAUGGAUAUAGUAGCGUCGGUGGGCAUUUCUCGGUUGCUUGGUGGUCAGACAAGGAAUCUGAGUGAGUACAUACAUAUGGAUGGAAUAAUUCGCGUGGUGGUGCAUUGCCAAAGCAUAAAGAUUCGUUACGAUAUGAUGAAGUAAGGAAUAUCUUCCUACAUAAUAAUGUACAGAGCCUGCAGGCAAGAAUCAGUAAAAGGUACGUAUUUGCUUU